GUGGUAAUAGAUUUGGAAUUACCUGUGAUAUUCAAUGUACAAGAAAUACAAAGACCGAUACAUGUAAAGGCUUUCAGUUUUGCUUACCUAAUCCAUAUGGAUGUGACUGUAUAACAGGUUAUACUGGUCUUAAAUGUCUAACAGAUUGUGGCUUUGGUAAGUUUGGUGCGGGUUGCAGUCAGGAUUGCCAUUGUACGCCAGGAGGUUGUAACCAGUAUACUGGAGUGUGUUCGUCAGGUACUUGUGCACCUGGAUGGUCUGGAAGCAACUGCCAAGUUCCAAGCAAUUGUCCUGUUGGUUAUUUUGGCUCAUCUUGUACAUUAAUUUGUCAUUGUCAUGAUAAUGUUGAAUGUGAUAAGAAUACAGGUGUAUGUAGUAAUAAUGCAGACUGUGCAAAAGGAUAUCAUACAUAUGACAGUCAAUUUUGUAAAGGUAAGUACAGUGU